AUUGAACGCUGGCGGCAGGCCUAACACAUGCAAGUCGAGCGGAUGAAGGGAGCUUGCUCCUGGAUCCAGCGGCGGACGGGUGAGUAAUGCCUAGGAAUCUGCCUGGUAGUGGUGUAUAACGUCCGGAAACGGGCGCUAAUACUGCAGACGUCCUGAGGGAGAAAGUGGGGGAUCUUCGGACCUCACGCUAUCAGAUGAGCCUAGGCCGGAUUAGUUAGUUGGUGGGGUAAGUGCCUACCUAGCAGGGGAUCCGUAACUGGUCGGAGAGGGUGAUCAGUCACACUGGAACUGAGACACGGUCCAGACUACUAAGAGAGGCAGCAGUGGGGAAUAUUAGACAAUAGGCGAAAGCCUGAUCCAGCCAUGCCGCGUGUGUGAAGAAGGUCUUCGGAUUGUGAAGACCUUUAAGUUGGGGGGAAGGGCAGUAAGUUAAUACCUUGCUGUUUUGACGUUACCAACAGAAUAAGCACCGGCUAACUUCGUG
rnacentral:rRNA from 1 species